AAGGAUCAUUACCGAGUGCGGGCCCUCUGGGUCCAACCUCCCAUCCGUGUCUAUUGUACCCUGUUGCUUCGGCGUGGCCGGCUUUCCCCCCCGGGGGGAGCCACCAGUGCCCGCCGGAGACUCCAACAUCUGAACACUGUCUGAAGAUUGCAGUCUGAGUUUAUAGUUAAACAAUCGUUAAAACUUUCAACAACGGAUCUCUUGGUUCCG
rnacentral:misc_RNA from 1 species